UGUUCUAAUUUCCGCCCUCGGCUUGGUUAAAUCUGUUUCUCGCAGUACGUAUAACGCUGCUUGCGUUGUGAAGGGUGGGUGACUGAACGAAUGCUAAGGAGAUGCUGUUCAUUCCAAUUGUAUCCGGCUGCAGGUUGCAGACUCGGCCUUCCACACCUCCUGCCUUCAAUAGUCUGCCCCAGGACCUCCCAUAGUCCGUAGAAAAAGAUGGAGAAAUGCUGCUGUACAGUUUUUCCAAUUUGAAAAAGAAAAUGAGCUGAAAACUUUUUCCGUCACGGAACAAUGGCACUACAGAACCAGGUUUACACUCUAUUGAGUAAUUAGAAGAUGAAUAAAGACUUGCACUACAUCUGAAGUGAAAAAAAUGCCUUGCUAUUCUGUUUCAUAGCACUGUGUUCAUGCAGGUUUCAGAUAUUUUCUUUUAGAAGAAAUGUCAGCCUCCUUUUUCCAACAUCCAGCACAGGACACCGAUGAGCAGCAACACUGAGAAUCCUUCAACAUUUUACCGAGGCAGAGAAGUGGUAUGCUGAGAACAUUUCUGUGUUCAGGGGGCACAUCUCACUCCCUUCAUUACUGUCAAUGGCCCAAAGACGACAUUGAGGAGGCCCUUCAGAAAUUCGGUUUGCUAUCUGAAUUUCCAGAAGAAGAUAAGAGGGAAUAUGUCCUUAGACCCUUCAUCAUCCUUUUUUCAUAUAUGGAAGAUAUGCAUCUGUUUUAAGAUAACGUGAGAGGAAAAAGGAAAAUGACUGUGUUUUGUGAGAAAAUGUAACAAACGUACUGUUCAUGUCCCUCAUUGUUCAGUUACAACCGACAAUUCUUGUUCUUUAUUUUAUAUAUUCUUUAACUCUUUUGUAAUAAAUGUUGCAAACCAACUUCA